GCACUGCCAACGAUUUGUCACGUGACGAUGACCCCACUGGUCCUCAGACCCCAAUUUGAGUAGCAGGGAUGUGGAUAUUACAAUAGUUUUCCUGCUUCUACUUCUAACCUCCUACAGUUUGGUUUCUCUACAGCAGCCUGCGUUAUUGUGUUCGUUUCCCCUGCUGCACAGUAAGUGACCUCCCAAAAUUUGGCAGCUCACAAUGGCAAUGAACACUUAUCUCACACAGCUUCUGAGGCUCAGAAAUCCAGCUUUUGAUCUCUGAUGUAAAAAGAACAUGGCCUUGGCAGCUGCUGAUCUCAGAAGAAUGACAGACCCUGGACAAAACUACAUAGAACCCAACAGCCUAGAGCCAAGUGCAGCCAAACACAAUUUGGAACAGCUGAAAUCUGGCUGGUCUGCUGGCAUUGGACACAGCAAGAAGGCAGCCAUCUGCAAGCCAGGAAGAAGUUUCUCACCAGACACCGAAUAUGCCGGCACCUUGAUCUUGAGGCUCCCAGCCUUCAGAACUGUAAGAAAUAAAUGUCUGUUCUUAAGUUCCCCGAUCUGUGGCAUCCUGUUAUACAGCAGCCCAAGCUAAGACAUUAUUUCUGUAUGGAUUUUGUUUACCGUGACUA